rnacentral:rRNA from 1 species
UACGUAGGGUGCAAGCGUUAAUCGGAAUUACUGGGCGUAAAGCGUGCGCAGGCGGCUUUGCAAGACAGAUGUGAAAUCCCCGGGCUUAACCUGGGAACUGCAUUUGUGACUGCUUGGCUGGAGUGCGGCAGAGGGGGAUGGAAUUCCGCGUGUAGCAGUGAAAUGCGUAGAUAUGCGGAGGAACACCGAUGGCGAAGGCAAUCCCCUGGGCCUGAACUGACGCUCAUGCACGAAAGCGUGGGGAGCAAACAGG